CAAAAACAUGUCCUUUUGUUAUUUAUUUAAGGUCUGACCUGCCCAAUGAGGAAUUGAAUGGCCGCAGUAUUUUAACUGUGCUAAGGUAGCAUAAUCAUUUGUCUUUUAAUUGAGGGCUGGAAUGAAGGGUUGGACGAGGUAUUAACUUUCUUUGAUUUAAUAGGGUGAAUUUAAUUUUUGAGUUAAAAAGCUUAAAUUUAUUUGUGGGACGAGAAGACCCUAUAGAUCUUUAUAAUUUUAUAUUUUAAUAAUUUAGGGAUUUAUAUGUUUUAAGUAGAUGAAUUAUUUUGUUGGGGUGACUGUAGAAUUUGAAUAACUUCUAUUAUUUUAUUUCAUUAAUUAGUGUUUUUAUGAUCCAUAUUUUAUGAUUAUAAGAUUAAGUUACCUUAGGGAUAACAGCGUAAUUUCCUCGGAGAGUUCAUAUUGAUGAGGGAGUUUGCGACCUCGAUGUUGGAUUAAAAUAAGUUAUAGAUGCAGGAGUCUAUUUACUAGGUCUGUUCGACCUUUAAAUUUUUACAUGAUCUGAGUUCAAACCGGAGA
rnacentral:rRNA from 1 species